AUGUUUUUAGUGAAGUUCGGUAUUGUUCGUGAAAAUUAAGGUCAUGGGUUCAAGUGUAGCGGACUGAUUUCGACUUUUGAGGUAGAUUAUGGCUUAAUUCUUUCAGACUGGGUUGGGUAGUAAAUGAUGAUACAAAAUGCAUAUUAAGGGUGGAAACUAAUCAUGAAAAAUGGUCAUUUAUGUGUUGUGCCCGUAUGGGGGCCUAUAUGUGAUGUGACUG
rnacentral:lncRNA from 1 species